CCUACGGGAGGCAGCAGUGGGGAAUCUUGCGCAAUGGGCGCAAGCCUGACCCAGCAACGCCGCGUGAAGGAAUAAGGCUUUCGGGUUGUAAACUUCUUUUCUCAGGGACGAAGCAAGCGACGGUACCUGAGGAAUAAGCCACGGCUAACUACGGGCCAGCAGCCGCGGGAAUACGUAGGUGGCAAGCGUUAUCCGGAUUUACUGGGUGUAAAGGGCGUGUAGGUGGGCCUGCAAGUCAGAUGUGAAAACUACGGGCUCAACCUGUGGACUGCAUUUGAAACUGUGGUUCUUGAGUGCAGGAGAGGAAGACGGAAUUCCUAGUGUAGCGGUGAAAUGCGUAGAUAUUAGGAGGAACACCAGUGGCGAAGGCGAUCUGCUGGACAGCAACUGACGCUGAGGCGCGAAAGCGUGGGGAGCGAACAGGAUUAGAUACCCGUGUAGUC
rnacentral:rRNA from 1 species